ACGCUCGACACCUACGGGAGCAGCAGUGGGGAAUAUUGCACAAUGGGGGAAACCCUGAUGCAGCGACGCCGCGUGGAGGAAGAAGGUCUUCGGAUUGUAAACUCCUGUUGUUGGGGAAAAAGAGGAUGGUACCCAACAAGGAAGUGACGGCUAACUACGUGCCAACAGCCGCCGGUAAGUACUGAGCGGGCGUGGCGAAGGACG
rnacentral:rRNA from 1 species